rnacentral:rRNA from 1 species
AGUUUGAUCCUGGCUCAGAACGAACGUUGGCGGCGUGGAUCAGGCAUGCAAGUCGAGCGCCGCAGCAAUGCGGAGCGGCGAACGGGGCAGUAAAGCAUGGGUAACCUACCCUGGGGACCGGGAUAGCCAUUCUAACGGAUGGGUAAGCCCGGGCGAAUUGAGCGGGCCGCAUGGCCGGCUCAAGAGAGUGAAGGCCACAGGAGGGGCUCAUGUCGUAUUAGCUAGUUGGUGGGGUAACGGCCCACCAAGGCGACGAUGCCUAGCGGGUGUGCGAGCACGACCCGCGCCACUGGCACUGAGACACUGGCCAGACACCUACGGGUGGCUGCAGUCGAGGAUCUUCGGCAAUGGGCGCAAGCUUGACCGAGCGACGCCGCGUGAGCGAUGAAGGCCUUCGGGUUGUAAAGCUCUGUCGGGGGGGAGAAAAGGCAACUUGAUCGACCCCCGGAGGAAGGACGGGCUAAGUUCGUGCCAGCAGCCGCGGUAAGACGAACCGUCCAAACGUUAUUCGGAAUCACUGGGCUUAAAGGGUGCGUAGGCGGAGAGGCAAGUCAGAGGUGAAAGCCCACGGCUCAACCGUGGAAGUGCCCCUGAAACGGCCUCUCUCGAGGGAGAUAGGGGCGUGCGGAACUCAGAGUGGAGCGGUGAAAUGCGUAGAUAUUCUGAGGAACACCGGUGGCGAAAGCGGCACGCUGGGUCUUUGCUGACGCUGAGGCACGAAAGCUAGGGGAGCAAACGGGAUUAGAUACCCCGGUAGUCCUAGCCCUAAACGUUGGGUACUAGGUAGCGGCCUGUCCUGGGGUCGCUGCCGGAGCAAAAGUGUUAAGUACCCCGCCUGGGGAGUAUGGUCGCAAGGCUGANCUCAAAGGAAUUGANGGGGGCUCACACAAGCGGUGGAGCAUGUNGCUNAUUCGAGCAACGCGAAGAACUUAUCCUGGG